CCUCCUGCUAACCCAUAGGAGGUCCAGCCUGCCCAGUGACAAAGUUCAACGGCCUCGGUACCCUAACCGCGCGAAGGUAGCAUAAUCACUUGUUCUUUAAAUAAGGACUUGUAUCAACGGCACCACGAGGGUUAGACUGUCUCCCCUCCCCAAUCAGUGAACCUGACCUCUUCGUGAAGAGGCGAAGAUGAUCAUAUAAGACGAGAAGACCCCAUGGAGCUUAAAACUAAGUAACACCCUCUUAUACGCAUACCCUAAAAAACAAGAAAACUGUUACCUAAUUUUUGGCUGGGGCAUCCGAGGAGUAAAGCACAGCCUCCUUGACGAACCAUCUUAGAAUUACUAUUCCAAGAAACAGUAACCUGAAGUAACAUGACCCGAUAAUCGAUCAACGAACCAAGUUACCCUGGGGAUAACAGCGCAAUCCAUUUCAAGAGCUCAUAUCGACAAAUGGGUUUACGACCUCGAUGUUGGAUCAGGGUAUCCCAGUGGUGCAGCCGCUACUAAGGGUUCGUUUGUUCAACGAUUAAAACCCU
rnacentral:rRNA from 1 species